rnacentral:rRNA from 1 species
GCAUCACCACUAAAGUGCGAGAGACAGAUGCUAUACUGUGAUUCAGAGAGAGAUGUCAGUCCAAUUGGACUGAAACCGGUUCAAGACCUCUAACGGAGGCAGACAUUGGGGAAAUUUUGGCCCAAUGGCGGCAAAGCUGAUCGCAGCCAUGGCGCGGUUAUUAAAGAGGUCCCUCCGAGUGUUAACUACCUUACAGUCGGAGAGGAAGGGCGAAUUUCGUUAAUAACCAGCAUUUCAUUGACCGGUACGUACCAGAAUGAAGGCCCCCGGCUAACUCUCGUCCAGCCAGCCGCGGUAAAUACGGAAGGGGUGCAAAGCGUAAUUCGGAAUUAUUGGGGCGUAAAGCGCAGUCAGUCGGUCUGUCAAGUCGGAUGUAAAUCCCCGGGCUCACCCUGAAACGGCAUUCGAAACUGCCAGGUUAGAGUCUUGUAGAGGGGGUAGAUUUCCAGGUGUAGCGGUGAAAUGCGUAGAGAUCUGGAGGACUACCGGUGGCGAAGGCGGCCCCCUGGACAAAGACUGCCGCUCAGGUGGGAAAGCGUGGGGAGCAACCAGGAUUAGAUACCUUGGUAGUCCACGCGGUAAACGAGGUAGAUAUGGAGGUUGUUCCCUUGAGGAGUGGCUUCCGGAGUUAACGCGUUAAGUCGCCCCCUUGGGGAGUACGCCCCCAAGGUUAAAAUUCAAAUGAAUUGACGGGGGCCCGCCCAAGCGGUGGACCAUGGGGUUUAAUUGGAUGCACCGCGAAGACCCUUACCUACUCUUGACAUCCAGAGAACUUAGCAGAGAUGCUUUGGUCCUUUCGGGACCUUUGAGCCAGGUGCUCCAUGGCUGUCUUCAAUUCGUGUUGUGAAAUGUUGGGUUAAUUCCCGCAAGGAGCCCAACCUUUUUCCUUUGUUCCCACCGGUUCGGCCGGGAACUCAAAGGAGACUGCCAGUGAUAAACCGGAGGAAGGUGGGGAUGACGUCAAGUCAUCAUGGCCCUUACGAGUAGGGCUACACACGUGCUACAAUGGCAUAUACAAAGAGAAGCCACCUCGCGAGAGCAAGCGGACCUCAUAAAGUAUGUCGUAGUCCGGAUCGGAGUCUGCAACUCGACUCCGUGAAGUCGGAAUCGCUAGUAAUCGUGGAUCAGAAUGCCACGGUGAAUACGUUCCCGGGCCUUGUACACACCGCCCGUCACACCAUGGGAGUGGGUUGCAACAUUAUUUUGGUAGCUUAACCUUCGGGAGGGCGCUUACCACUUUUGUGAUUCAUGACUGGGGUGAAGGUCGAAACACAGGUACCCACAGGCG